UGCGGGAUCGUCUAACGGCAGGACUGGCGCCUUUGGAGCGCCCUAUCUAGGUUCGAAUCCUAGUCCCGCAG
rnacentral:tRNA from 1 species